AAGGGGGAGGACCAAUUGUGUAAAUACCCCAUUUUGGGCCAAAAUGCAUGGGUACAGCACCAAACGGUGCUGUUUUGUUUUGCCUUUUAAGCCCUAAAAAAAUCUGGUUGAAAUCAUUUCAGUUUUGCUUUAGGAAAACCUAAAUUUCAAGACCCCCCAUAUCAACCACACAUGCCACACCCCCAAAUGGAGAAUUAGAGGCGAUCCCGACUCCCUCCUAGGCCCGAUCUCAACGACGGAGGAAACUUCGACGACCACGUGACCACCGGAAGUCAGGUUCAUGGGCGUGUACGUCUCCUACGUGGAGGUGGAGUGACGCACGGUGCGGAGAUUCGCACGAUGUACGGAACCUGAGGAUUGCUUCGGUUGCAAACAGCAACACCUUUGCUUGCUGAAAUUUGUUUAUGCCUUGGGCCUUGUAGUUUGGGUUUGUUUUUUAUUUAGUUUUGUAUAUGUGUGGGCCUGGGCAUAAAUUAGGCCUAACAAUAAUAUUAGCAAAUAUUUUUUUAUCAAA